GAUGAACGCUAGCUACAGGCUUAACACAUGCAAGUCGAGGGACCGGCGCACGGGUGAGUAACACGUAUCCACCCUGCCCUUUACUCGGGGAUAGCCUUUCGAAAGAAAGAUUAAUACCCGAUGUACAGGAUGGGGAUGCGUUCCAUUAGGUUGUUGGUGAGGUAACGGAUCACCAAGCCUUCGAUGGAUAGGGGUUCGGAGAGGAAGGUCCCCCACAUUGGAACUGAGACACGUUCCAAACUCCUACUGGAGGCAGCAGUGAGGAAUAGUGGUCAAUGGGCGGUAGCCUGAACCAGCCAAGUAGCGUGAAUGAUGAAGGCUUAUGGGUCGUAAACUUCUUUUAUAUAAGAAUAUGUAUUAUAUGAAUAAGGAUCGGCUAACUCCGUGCCAGCAGCCGCGGUAAUAC
rnacentral:rRNA from 1 species